rnacentral:rRNA from 1 species
AACGAACGCUGGCGGCAGGCUUAACACAUGCAAGUCGAGCGCCCCGCAAGGGGAGCGGCAGACGGGUGAGUAACACGUGGGAACGUACCUUUUGCUACGGAAUAGCUCCGGGAAACUGGAAUUAAUACCGUAUGUGCCCUUCGGGGGAAAGAUUUAUCGGCAAAAGAUCGGCCCGCGUCUGAUUAGCUAGUUGGUGGGGUAAUGGCCUACCAAGGCGACGAUCAGUAGCUGGUCUGAGAGGAUGAUCAGCCACACUGGGACUGAGACACGGCCCAGACUCCUACGGGAGGCAGCAGUGGGGAAUAUUGGACAAUGGGCGCAAGCCUGAUCCAGCCGUGCCGCGUGAGUGAUGAAGGCCUUAGGGUUGUAAAGCUCUUUCGCUAGGGAAGAUAAUGACGGUACCUAGAGAAGAAGCCCCGGCUAACUUCGUGCCAGCCGCCGCGGUAACAC